UACCUGCAGCUCGAGUGGUAACCGCUAUUAUUGGGCCUAAAGCGUCCGUAGCCGGUUUGGUAAAUAUCUGGGUAAAUCGUGAGGCUUAACUUCACGAAUUUCGGAUAGACUGCCAGACUUGGGAUCGGGGGAGGUCAGAGGUACUCCAGGGGUAGCGGUGAAAUGUUGUAAUCCUUGGAGGACCACCGGUAGCGAAGGCGUACUGACUAGAACGAGUCCGACGGUGAGGGACGAAGCCCUGGGGCGCAAACCGGAAUAGAUACCCGGGUAGUCCAGGGUGUAAACGAUGUGGGCUUUGUAUUGGAGGUCCCACGUGGGCGUCCAGUGCAGAAGAGAAGUUGUUAAGCCCACCGCCUGGGAAGUACGGUCGCAAGGCUGAAACUUAAAGGAAUUGGGCGGGGGAGCACGAGCGAACGGGAGGAGCGUGCGGUUU
rnacentral:rRNA from 1 species